AUCUAUGUUUCAGAGCUCGAUAGAGCAAAGCAAAUGCAAUGUGGUGUGGGAAAUAAGUAACAGGGUAUACUAUUACUAGGCCUAAAAUUGUGUCACUUCACGCCGCCACAAUUUUGUACUCAUUAUCAUCAAUAAUUUUGAAGGAACUUACUUCACUCCUACUUCUUAUUUGGGAGGUCCCGGUUUCAAAUCUCGGCCUGGAGACAGACUACACUGACUGAGGGUUUUCGUGGUUUUUCUGAGACCCUCCAGGCAAAUGGCUCGGUUGCGCUUUGAGUUAGGCCAUGAGUGCUUCCUUCCACAUCUUAACAAUUCAUUAUCAUCUUCUCAUGUAUAGCCUGAGAUACUGAAGGCAUCAUUAAAUAUACUACAAAUAAUUUUCAGAUGUGAGUCCAUCAAAAUAGCAACAACCUUUUACCCAUACACCUGCACAAAGAAGAGAAGACACAAGCAAAAUUAGCACUAAUCCUAAAAAUGUUGUCAAUGGAUUAACAAGAAUCUUGUGACUGACUUUUCUCUAACAAAUUUAUAAACCACAUUCAUAGUUUUGA